ACGGAGGGUGCGAGCGUUAAUCGGAAUUACUGGGCGUAAAGCGCAUGCAGGUGGUUCAUUAAGUCAGAUGUGAAAGCCCCGGGCUCAACCUGGGAACGGCACUUGAAACUGGCGAGCUGGAGUACUGUAGAGGGGGGUAGAAUUUCAGGUGUAGCGGUGAAAUGCGUAGAGAUGUGGAGGAAUACCGGUGGCGAAGGCAGCCCCCUGGACAGAUACUGACGCUCA
rnacentral:rRNA from 1 species